CCCCUCUCAGGAUCACACUUGGAGAUUUUCCAGUACUCUACCAGUCUCGGCUAUGGGAGGGAGAGUCAAGCAGAGGUAUGCCCAUUCCAUUCCUAGCUUGAGUAGUGGCUGGCAGGUGGAAGGCAAUCUGCUACAAGU